GCUCAGUGUGUACAUUCAUAUCAAAGGCCAACAUGAAGACAGGCACAGCCUUUGUCCUAGUGGCUUUUGUCAUCUUGGGGAUAGAGAUGGCCUUCGCUCGGAGACUUGCUAAUGGAGGGGGAAACAGACCUGGACUCUGCCCCAUGGUGACCAUAGAAACCGGUGGUAUUUGUGCUGAAAGCUGCACAGGAGAUGACUCAUGUCCCGGGGAAAUGAAAUGCUG